GAUGAACGCUGGCGGCGUGCCUAAUACAUGCAAGUCGAGCGAACAGACGAGGAGCUUGCUCCUCUGACGUUAGCGGCGGACGGGUGAGUAACACGUGGAUAACCUACCUUUAAGACUGGGAUAACUUCGGGAAACCGGAGCUAAUACCGGAUAAUAUAUUGAACCGCAUGGUUCAAUAGUGAAAGACGGUUUUGCUGUCACUUAUAGAUGGAUCCGCGCCGCAUUAGCUAGUUGGUAAGGUAACGGCUUACCAAGGCAACGAUGCGUAGCCGACCUGAGAGGGUGAUCGGCCACACUGGAACUGAGACACGGUCCAGACUCCUACGGGAGGCAGCAGUAGGGAAUCUUCCGCAAUGGGCGAAAGCUUGACGGAGCAACGCCGCGUGAGUGAUGAAGGUCUUCGGAUCGUAAAACUCUGUUAUUAGGGAAGAACAAAUGUGUAAGUAACUAUGCACGUCUUGACGGUACCUAAGCAGAAAGCCACGGCUAACUACGU
rnacentral:rRNA from 1 species